rnacentral:rRNA from 1 species
GUCUCUUUGAAUUAUAUUAAUAGAGAGUUGGGCCUGCUCGGUGAGAAUGAAAAUUUAACAGCUGCGGUAUUAUAACUGUACUAAGGUAGCAUAAUAAUUUGCCUUGUAAAUUAAGGCUAGAAUGAAUGGUUUGACGAAAAUUAAGCUGUCUCUGAUUUAUUUGUUAGAAAUUAAUUUUUAUAGUGAAAAAGCUUGGAUAAUUUAAAGGGACGAGAAGACCCUAUUGAGCUUGGUUAUUAAUAAUUAAAUAUAAAAUAAAUUGUUUUUAUGGAUUUAUUUAGUAUGAUAGUAUAUAAAUAUAUUUAGUUAAAUUAAUUUUGAUUGGGGUGAUCAAGGAAUAAAAUAUUUAAAAAGUAACUUCCUUAAUUUUUAUUAGAGAAUUUUAAUUGAGUAAUAAACCAAAGUUUUUGCUUAUAAGAUAAGUUACCAUAGGGGUAACAGCGUAAUUUUUUUUGAGAGUUCAUAUUGAAAAAAGAGAUUGCGACCUCGAUGUUGGAUUAAAAAUUACCUUAAGGUGAAGAGGCUUUAUUAGGUGAAUCUGUUCGAUUUUUAAAAUUUU